AUGUCUCAUUCCCCCUUCCCAGGCGGUGGAGGCCCAGAGCCCAGGAGGGCCCCCCAGAGAGCUGGUUCUCCCAUCAGCCGUUGUGAGGAAUGACGGGCAAGCUGGUAUUAUUGGCAGUGCCCGCAGGGUGACUCGGGAAGGCGAGAUUGAUUUUCCCAGAUGCAUGCCCCUGUUCCUGAACCUGCCUCUGCUCUCUGCUGAUCUCAGAGAAUCCCAGCAUUUUGGAGCUAAUGGGACCUGAGCCCAGCUUUUCCCGUGAGAAGGCCCAAGGGUGCCUCACGGAGAGUUAGGGACAGGGUGCACCUUCUGUGUGCCAUCCAUCUGCCAAGAUGGGUAGGAGCCAUAUGGAAAGCUUCUCUCAGAAGGCACACAUAUUCGCACCCCGGAGUAAUUACCACUUACCUGAGCCGAGCACUGCAAUUCCAAAGUGCUUGCCCUUCCAUCCUUUCACAUAAUCGGCCCAGCAACCCUGGAAACCCACCACCAUGAACUCUCUUUAGUCAGGGAGGAAAUUAACACACCAAAAGGUUUUGCUAAAAGGACCACAGGGCAUCCACAUGAAUUAAGCUUUGGCUGUUUACCCCACUCACAAUAGCCCUAUGAAGUAGGCAUUAUUAUCCUGAUUGUGCAGGAGCAGCCAGGGCUCAGAGACAUGAAGGAGCUUGUAUGAGGCCACUCAGCUAGUUAGGUCGCUGGGACAGAACUCGAACCCAGAGCCCAAGCUCCAGGAUGGAGAUGCAGAGUCAUCUGACCCCAGGCCCGGGCUCAGUCUCCGGUGCAGCCACUGUCCGUCAGCCGUAAAGAUCCUCUUGUGGGUUUGUUGUUUUGAGGCUGGGCUCUCCUGCUAUGCUGCACAGCAGACAACUGCAGAAGGGAUCAGAGGAGGCAGGGCUUGAUGUGGUCAGCGAAGGCCCUGAGCUGCCCUCUGCUGGGAAGGGGGGAGCGUGGGAGCCCUUGGCCGAGGCUCCAGGUCCAUUUUAAUAAGUGAUGUAUUAAAAUGUUCCUGCUGGAGGCCACCCCGUCAGCCAAAGCAGGAAUCUCGGCCUGGGAAGCCAGUCCGCCUUUCCGGAGGACUCCACUCAGCAAAAGAGAACAUAAAUCUGACACAUCCACUAUAACAUCAGGGUGAGCAUUUGUUGAGAAGGCACUUUGGGGACUGGGCAGAUAUCACAUUAUACCAAGUGCAGGAUAUCUGGUUAGGUAGCAAUACAUAUGACAAGGGCCAUCAACAGUCCGAGGUGGGGGAGGGUGUCUCCAUGCCUCCAUGCGUGGAUGGAGCAUCCGUGGCUGCAUCAUUCAAACGCCACUAAUUGAAUGCUUGUAAUAAGCAUCCAUCUCUUCGGAUUCUGCUUGUGGCCUGUCCAGGCUGACAGUCUGAAGGAAUAUCAAAAAGCACCUCCAAGGGGGAAAUUGGCAAAUUAAGUUUUAAAAGAAAGAGACUUAAAAAUUACUGCUGUCUGGAGGCCCCAGAUGAAGGAGUGAGUUCUGCAGACAGCAGGCAGCAAAAUCCGGGGCCCUAAGGACCCAGCGGGAGGGGCAGACUGUAAGGAGGCUGCUGCAAGAGUAAAGGGCUCGAAUUUAGGACUUAGGUGACUUGGAUUGGAAACUUCUCUGGUAUGCUUUCUAGUUGUGCCUUGGGGCCAGUUUCUCAAGCUCUUUGGGCUUCUGUAAAACGGGGGUGACAAAAUGCCUACCGCACAAAUAAACAGAACCCCCUUUCUCCUUCCCAGCACAGGACCUGGUGCAUAAUAAAUGGUAGCCAUCAAUAUGAACAUACUAGAGGCCUGGUGCAUGAAAUUCGUGCACAGGAGCGGGGGAUGUCCCUCAGCCCGGCCUGCACCCUCUAUAAUCUGGUACCCCUCAGGGGACAUCCUUCUUGCAACCCUGGAACUCUGGCUCCUAACCUCUCGCCUGCCCUCCAGCCUGAUCCUCCUAACUGCUCUCCCCUGCCGUCCUGAUCACCCCUAACUGCCUCUGCCUUGGCCCUGCCACCAUGGCUUUGUCCAGAAGGACAUUCAGUCUAAUUAGCAUAUGACCCUUUUAUUAGUAUAGAUGUGAAGUGCCUACUAUGUGCUAAGUGAUGGACUUUCAAGACCUAGCAAACAGUUCUGGCUGCCAAAGCUUCUUUGCAGAUGUUUUUUGGCAGCCCAGAGCUGACACCCAGGGUACUAAGGGGCAGUGGUGGCAUCACCAUAGGGCUGGGGAGGAGGGAGGCGUCAGCUUGCUUCUCAUUAUCUCCAUCAGCUCCCCAAAGCACCCAACAAAUCCAAUCCUAAGUAAAUCUGUGUGCUUGCUCCCCAAAGCAGUGUCAAGAGAAGUCUCCACCCCCUUCUAACCAGAUUGUCUGAAGUCUUCGCUCUAUGGAUGGAGACGAGCAGGUCAAGGAUGCAUGCUGUCAACAUGGCUUAUCACUACUGACGCUGACCUUGACUUGGGAUUCUUCUGUCCAGGCGAUGCAAGUGACACACUUAUCUGCGGUUCAACUCUGCCUCCGUGUUGAGCAAGCCACUGUGGUCUAGAUGUAAUCGUGAGUUCCAGGCAAACCGGGGGAAAACAGAAAUGCCACAAGGCCCAAGGUACUGCCUGAUGACCGAUAGAUGGAACCUUACAAAAGAGAAAGAGAAAAAAAGAGAGAGAUGAAAAAAAACAACCAGCACCCUAAUAAAAGCAACUUCCUGUGGACGGGAGCUGUCACUCUGCUUAGAAA